rnacentral:lncRNA from 1 species
GGCAGUAUCAGAGCUCUGAUAUGAAUUCGGUUUGGUCUCUGUCUAGCAACCUUUGUACUUCACGUCAAAGGCCUUUAUACAUAGCAGGGGCUCAGGAAAUGGUUUUUUUUUUUUUUUUUUUUUUUUGAGAUGACACAAAAACGAAGUGAGGCUUUUUUUCCGAGGCCAGAGGAGGAGACUGGCUCCUGGCUGCACAGAUACAGCUUGCAUCCCUGGUAAUCCUUCACAGGACCUGCUGCGGGGAGCUGAGUGGUUUAUACCUGGUAGCCUGGGCCAAGAGGCAGCGUUUAAGGGGCUGAUGACUCAUCCAGAACCAGCCUCCAUUCUUCGUGUGGAGGAGAGCCUUGAUGGGCGCUGGAGGCUAAUUGCACGGCGCUGGGAGUAAUGCAGCUGCUGUAAUUCCUGUCACCUCUAACGGCGCAGUGGGAGCUUCCGGGGGAUCACGCCAGGCAUUUGGGGGCCGUCUGCAUUCUUGGUGAGUGUCACUGUCAGAGGUCCGGCAGGGCACGGGGCAACCAGGGAAGCGGCGCCUUCUGGCCACGUCUUUAAUUAAAUGAGGCCCUCUUGUGACCACUGUUCAGCCUAAUAAGUUGUCUCCAGUUGCGGAGAAAGUUGCUAUUAAAGACCUGAUGGGAAGCAGCAACUCAGAACAGCCUAGCUCAUCUCAGGACGAGACUGUCUUUCCUAACAGUUUCCGGGAAUGACAUCGCCACCUGGCCUGGAUAUUCCAGCUUUCGGGGGCCGGGGGAGUCUCCCUGUGGCCCUCUCCUAGGAACCUGGGGGCUGGCCUGCAUUCAACCCUUUACUUAGGAAGUGUAACCCUUAGAGAUCGGAAGAAACCUGGGAAUAAGACAAUUCAAUAAAGUCACAAUAAAAC